ACCCGUACGGGAGGCAUGGAGCGCGGGCGCUCCGCCAGCGCGGCGUCGAUACGGUCGCCAGUCCGACGCGCUGGGCCAAUGGCGAGACCGACCCGUCGAAG
rnacentral:ncRNA from 1 species